rnacentral:lncRNA from 1 species
UUUUACCUUGUUUUUCAAUGAGGGACUGAUGUUGAUAAACCAAUAUUUUCUGCUAGUCAUGUGGGGUGAAUAACAUGAGUCGAGAUACCAUUGAUCUUUGAAUAUUUUUAUUCUUUUGUUGUGACCAUUAGCAUCACUUCGUCUUCUUUUGCAAGCUUUGCAUCACUUUCUUUAUCUUUCUUGCCUCCUUAACAUUAACUUGCAUAAUGGCCAUACUUUUGAAUAUUGUAGCAUUGAAUAUGACUUUUAUCA